ACGCGGAGGAGAAGGAAAGUCGCUCAAGCAGUGGACAGAGCGGAGAAAGCGACUUCGGGUCUGCUGGAGUUUGCUGGAGGUGCACUCCAGACUCUGUUUGCCUGCCUAUCACCAACAGAGGCUGCAGAACAGCAAAGAUUGCUGUCUGUAACUUCCUCUGGAAGCUUCAUCCCAGAGGGGCACCUGCCAGAUGCCAGCCGGAGCUCUCCUCUAUGAGUUCAGCCUGAGAAAACUCCUGAGCAUGUGCGAAAAAGAAAAGAAGAAAAGAAAAGUAAAGAAAAGAAAAAAGGAAAAAGGGCAAGCUCCUGAGUGGAUCUCUCAGGGAGCCACCAGACAGUGAAUGAAGGAGGGAAGAAAGGAGAGACAGAGAAAAUAUGGAUUUCCUCAUGGUUGUGAUUCCUCUUCACUCUUUUGAAUUUGGAAGGAUGGCAUACACAUCUGAAAAAUACCACUACUUCCUUCAUUGGACUGCAAGGUAUUUCUGUUUGGAAAAGUAAUGGAGUCCAGUCAACUUCAUUGAUCGCCAAGGACUGUCAAAAUUAUAAAACUUGCUGUGGAGCUCUGACAUGCCAGAAGCCGCUAGAAAAAGAAGUUUGACAUUCAGAAACUUAUCAAGAGGUUCUACUCUUUGGAUAGAGACCAAAAUCAUACUUUGAAAAAGCCUGACAGGUUUCUUCGGAAAAGUGGCCAUCCAUGGAAUGAAUGAAAUGUUCUCUUUCUAUUCCAGGGAUUGCAGUGGCAAAGCUAGGCUAGGUCUUGGAGGCUGGUGUAAGGCGAUGUGGGUGAAGGCAGGAGGCUGAUGGAAAGACUGGGGGGAAGAAAAGCCGAAAUGGAUUCACGGUGCCUUGGAUGAAGGACGAGAGGGGAACUGCAAGCUCCUUCAACUGGUUCUGUCCGGUGAGAAGUGAUCAAGCUUGGGCUGACAAGAGGCUCAGGGAGCCCUCACGUUCUUUCGCUUUUUUACCUGCCAAUCAAACUGCUACAAGACAACACCCUGAUCUGGCAUGGACAU
rnacentral:lncRNA from 1 species